rnacentral:rRNA from 1 species
CCUACGGGAGGUAGCAGUGGGGAAUAUUGGACAAUGGGCGAAAGCCUGAUCCAGCCAUGCCGCGUGUGUGAAGAAGGCCUUCGGGUUGUAAAGCACUUUCAGUGGGGAAGAAAGCCUUGGGGCUAAUACCCUCGAGGAAGGACAUCACCCACAGAAGAAGCACCGGCUAACUCCGUGCCAGCAGCCGCGGUAAUACGGAGGGUGCGAGCGUUAAUCGGAAUUACUGGGCGUAAAGCGCGCGUAGGCGGUCUGAUAAGCCGGUUGUGAAAGCCCCGGGCUCAACCUGGGAACGGCAUCCGGAACUGUCAGGCUAGAGUGCAGGAGAGGAAGGUAGAAUUCCCGGUGUAGCGGUGAAAUGCGUAGAGAUCGGGAGGAAUACCAGUGGCGAAGGCGGCCUUCUGGACUGACACUGACGCUGAGGUGCGAAAGCGUGGGUAGCAAACAGGAUUAGAUACCCGUGUAGU